AUUGAACGCUGGCGGCAGGCCUAACACAUGCAAGUCGAGCGGAUGAGAGGAGCUUGCUUCUCGAUUCAGCGGCGGACGGGUGAGUAAUGCCUAGGAAUCUGCCUGCUAGGGGGGGACAACGUUUCGAAAGGAACGCUACUACGGCAUACGUCCUACGGGAGAAAGCAGGGGACCUUCGGGCCUUGCGCUAUCAGAUGAGCCUAGGUCGGAUUAGCGAGUUGGUGAGGUAAUGGCUCACCAAGGCGACGGUCCGUAACUGGUCUGAGAGGAUGAUCAGUCACACUGGAACUGAGACACGGUCCAGACUCCUACGGGAGGCAGCAGUGGGGAAUAUUGGACAAUGGGCGAAAGCCUGAUCCAGCCAUGCCGCGUGUGUGAAGAAGGUCUUCGGAUUGUAAAGCACUUUAAGUUGGGAGGAAGGGUUGUAGAUUAAUACUCUGCAAUUUUGACGUUACCGACAGAAUAAGCACCGGCUAACUCUGUGCCAGCCGCCGCCGUAAGAC
rnacentral:rRNA from 1 species